GAAAUAUAUUAUAUACAUACUUUAUAUUUUGAACGAGGAACAAUUUGGCCGUAUUUCUAAUCCACAUAUGCAUUCUUAUUUUGAAAAUCAAGGACUUAAGUGUCCAUCGGCAUGGGCCGUAUCUACUGUGCCAACAAGAUAUCGGCACGAUAGAGCACCCGUGCCGAUGACACAACUAGGGCGUGUUUGGUUCAAAAAAUCUAAUAAAAAUACAAAAUAAACAGUUAGGGCGUGUUUAGUUUGAAGUCGGAGUCGGAAUCGGAAUCGGAAUCAAAAUAAGAUGGAAUCGGAAUCGGAAUUGGAAUGACUCAUUACUUAAUUAUGUUUGGUUCAUCACCUGAAUCGGAAUCGGAAUAAAUCAAUCCCAUUGUCGGUGUUUGGUUCAGGUGGAUAUAAAAAACGUAAUCAAAUUAAUAUACUAACAUUAUCUUUAUAAUAUAUUAAUUUAAAUUCAAAUUAAAUAUUAAAUAUUAAAAAUUUACAUCAAAAUUUUGAAAUAAUGUCAAAAUUUUAAAUCUGUUUUUUUUUUAAAAUAAACUUUGAAGUUGAGUGGAUAAUUCAAAAUAUGAAACUAAAUUUUGAUUUAUUCAAAUUCAAACUUAAAAUUAUAAUUUAAAAUUUAAUUUGAAUCCAUAAAUUUAAUUUAAGUUUGAAAUAAAAUUUGAAUAAAACUUAUAUAAAUUAAAAUUUAAUUUAAAUUCAAAUUCAUAAGUUAGAUUCAAAAUACUUGAUUAAAUUUUAAUUUUUAAUUUAAGUUCAAAUUAAAAUUUAAAAUUAUAUAUUUAAUUUUUAAAUUUUAACUCAUAUUUUAAUUAAAAAAAUUGAAAAAAUAAAUUUAAUCGGAAUAAAUAUCCACUCCGUCCGGAUUCAACUUCCAAUUCUAGGCUGGAUUGAAAAAAAAGGUGAUUGGGGGAUUUCUAUUCCACUCGGGAAUCGGAAUCGGAAUGGGACUCCUGCGUACCAAACACCCACAAACGGAUUCACCGAUUCUGAUUUCGAUUCCAGGGUGAAAAAGAAGCAAACCAAACACGCCCUUAGAAUAUUUUGUUGCUAUAGAAAAUAAAUAUUUCAUACUAUUAUGUGUUGGCACAUAUUAAUUUUUUGUAACUGACACACAUUGGCAUGCUCUGGCACGCACCGUGUCGUACUAUGAUGGCAAGUUUCUGGCACGAUC
rnacentral:lncRNA from 1 species